rnacentral:lncRNA from 1 species
AAAUAGAUACAUAUAAAUAAAUGAUUACUUACCGUCCCUAGAGCAAGUGACAAAGGACUUGGUUGUUGGUAUCCGAGACCCAAGUUCGAAUCCUAGUUAAUUUAUAUUUCCAGCUAAGUUUAUUUCUAAAUGAAUUAAAUGAAGCGGGUAGCGUACUACCUAUCUCUCAAAAAAAUAUAUAAAUAAAUAAUUAUGUAUGCACCUAGG